AGCGGCGGACGGGUGAGUAACACGUGGGUAACCUGCCCAAGAGACUGGGAUAACACCUGGAAACAGAUGCUAAUACCGGAUAACAACACUAGACGCAUGUCUAGAGUUUGAAAGAUGGUUCUGCUAUCACUCUUGGAUGGACCUGCGGUGCAUUAGCUAGUUGGUAAGGUAACGGCUUACCAAGGCAAUGAUGCUUAGCCGAGUUGAGAGACUGAUCGGCCACAUUGGGACUGAGACACGGCCCAAACUCCUACGGGAGGCAGCAGUAGGGAAUCUUCCACAAUGGACGAAAGUCUGAUGGAGCAACGCCGCGUGAGUGAAGAAGGGUUUCGGCUCGUAAAGCUCUGUUGGUAGUGAAGAAAGAUAGAGGUAGUAACUGGCCUUUAUUUGACGGUAAUUACUUAGAAAGUCACGGCUAACUACGUGCCAGCAGCCGCGGUAAUACGUAGGUGGCAAGCGUUGUCCGGAUUUAUUGGGCGUAAAGCGAGUGCAGGCGGUUCAAUAAGUCUGAUGUGAAAGCCUUCGGCUCAACCGGAGAAUUGCAUCAGAAACUGUUGAACUUGAGUGCAGAAGAGGAGAGUGGAACUCCAUGUGUAGCGGUGGAAUGCGUAGAUAUAUGGAAGAACACCAGUGGCGAAGGCGGCUCUCUGGUCUGCAACUGACGCUGAGGCUCGAAAGCAUGGGUAGCGAACAGGAUUAGAUACCCUGGUAGUCCAUGCCGUAACGAUGAGUGCUAAGUGU
rnacentral:rRNA from 1 species